AGCGAACGCUGGCGGCAGGCCUAACACAUGCAAGUCGAACGAACUCUUCGGAGUUAGUGGCGGACGGGUGAGUAACACGUGGGAACGUGCCUUUAGGUUCGGAAUAACUCAGGGAAACUUGUGCUAAUACCGAAUGUGCCCUUCGGGGGAAAGAUUUAUCGCCUUUAGAGCGGCCCGCGUCUGAUUAGCUAGUUGGUGAGGUAAAGGCUCACCAAGGCGACGAUCAGUAGCUGGUCUGAGAGGAUGAUCAGCCACAUUGGGACUGAGACACGGCCCAAACUCCUACGGGAGGCAGCAGUAGGGAAUCUUGCGCAAUGGGCGAAAGCCUGACGCAGCCAUGCCGCGGGAAUGAUGAAGGUCUUAGGAUUGUAAAAUUCUUUCACCGGGGACGAUAAUGACGGUACCCGGAGAAGAAGCCCCGGCUAACUUCGUG
rnacentral:rRNA from 1 species